rnacentral:rRNA from 1 species
UACGGAGGGUGCGAGCGUUAAUCGGAAUUACUGGGCGUAAAGGGCGCGCAGGCGGUCCUUCAAGUCAAGAUGUGAAAAGCCCCGGGGCUCAACCUGGGGAACUGCAUUUUGAGACUGGAGGACUUGAGGACGGGAGAGGAGAGUGGAAUUGCCCAGUGUAGAGGUGAAAUUCGUAGAUAUUGGGAAGAACACCGAUGGCGAAGGCAAGCUCUCUGGACCGUUACUGACGCUGAGGCGCGAA